GCAUUUUGUUUCCCUGCGUCCUUUUCUUGUUUUUCUCACCCCUAUUGGAUUUGUUUGCCUCCACUGAUUGUCCCUCUGUGUUGUGGACCUACCUACCAGAGGGCCUGCUAACUACGGUGGCUGACGUGAAAAGGUGAAUGGUCCAAUCCAGAGCCAGAGAUUGGUUUGUCCAUUCUGGGAUACUGUAGAGACAUGGCAAUCUACAUAAACAAGGACGUGCUCAUUCCAAGUUUGAGGCAGCAGUACAGCAGCUCAGGACAGCAGGCUGUGGAGGAUGACUGUACAUACUACAGCACAAAUCCUCAGCUGCAACCUUGCCUCUGCCUCCUCUACAUUCCUCUGCUGUAUCCAAGCUCAGAAAACACUGAGGAUGUUCUCUGACCUGUCUCACCGAGCCUAUUUAUACUUCUCUCUCUGUACCUCUGGAAGAAGGCCAAGGACUAUCAGGACCAGGAUCUCUGAGAUUUCAAAACAGCACCUAUCCUGAGGCAGUGUUGAAUAUAAUGGGUCUGGGCUCCACACAUCACCGGCAAUUUAUUCUGCUCAUUGAUUUUGUUUCAGUAUUGAUUGUUUAUAUUUUGAAACUGGAGCUUUUUUACUACUUCAGCGUGUCUAUUUGUCUGGUCCUGGUUGACUUAUUGGUGAAUUUACUGCUGUAAUUUGUCCUGUCUAUUUCAUAGGGGGAAUAUUGGGCACCUCGGUUGAUAUGGCAACAUGGCUUUGUGAACCUUGAACGUCAUGUAAAACUUUUGCAAUCUGUCUUCAUUCAGUACUUCAGGAGGAGACACUAGAGGAAUAUUUUUAUUCACAGGUAACCGUAACUACGCACGGCAGGUCUCUCUCAACGUAUUAAAACAGCAGUAAGAGAGAUACUCAAGAAUUUAGAGUAUGGAGGAUAUAAUUAUUUAGCUUUCCCAAAAACAAGAGAGAAACUGCCAGGAAUGGAUAGAGAGCGUUUGUGUACUCUAAUGCAGUUUUUCCCAACUGGUGGGUUGCGGGUCCCCUCUGAAUGGACAGCAAGUGACUCAGAACGAAUGUCAAGUUUGUAAAAAAAAAAUAAAAAAAAAUCACACACUUUUUUUGAAGUACAGUGAAUUUCUACCACAUAGCUUUUAUUUUGAAGUGCCAUUUCCUGCUGUAGAGUAAUUGACAAAUGGACAGCUUGUUGACAGAGACAGCAAACUAACUCAAUGACAUGGCUAAACUCAAGUAUGACGCUGAAUAUAUUAAACUGUGUGGACCCUGAACCAUGGACCAAGGAGAAAUCUGGACCUCAUGGCUGGACCAUUCAGGAACCACUGCUCUAAUGUGAGCUGCAAAAUUAGCAUGAUGUAUAUUUCUACAUAUUACUUCUUUUAGGUUUUUUUUUUUUUUAUUGUGCUGUUGCUGGCUGUAACUUUUUCUUAUGCUGCUGUCUUGGACAGGUCUCCGCUGAGAAAGAGUUUGUUGAUCUCAGCAGGACUUGCCAGGUUAAAAAUGGGUUUAAUUAAAACAAAA